rnacentral:rRNA from 1 species
CCUACGGGUGGCUGCAGUGGGGAAUAUUGGACAAUGGGCGCAAGCCUGAUCCAGCCAUGCCGCGUGAGUGAUGAAGGCCUUAGGGUUGUAAAGCUCUUUCACCCACGACGAUGAUGACGGUAGUGGGAGAAGAAGCCCCGGCUAACUUCGUGCCAGCAGCCGCGGUAAUACGAAGGGGGCUAGCGUUGUUCGGAAUUACUGGGCGUAAAGCGCACGCAGGCGGUUCGGUCAGUCAGAAGUGAAAGCCCCGGGCUUAACCUGGGAACUGCUUUUGAUACUGCCGAGCUUGAAUCACGGAGAGGGUAGUGGAAUUCCGAGUGUAGAGGUGAAAUUCGUAGAUAUUCGGAAGAACACCAGUGGCGAAGGCGACUACCUGGCCGUCGAUUGACGCUCAUGUGCGAAAGCGUGGGGAGCAAACAGGAUUAGAUACCCUGGUAGUC